AUUGAACGCUGGCGGCAGGCCUAACACAUGCAAGUCGAACGAGUGGCGGACGGGUGAGUAAUGUCUGGGAAACUGCCCGAUGGGGGGGGAUCACUACUGGAAACGGUAGCUAAUACCGCAUACCAUCAGAUGUGCCCAGAUGGGAUUAGCUAGUUGGUGGGGUAACGGCUCACCUAGGCGACGAUCCCUAGCUGGUCUGAGAGGAUGACCAGCCACCCUGGAGCUGGGACACGGUCCAGAAUCCUACGAGAGGCAGCAGUGGGGAAUAUUGGACAAUGGGCGCAAGCCUGAUGCAGCCAUGCCGCGUGUGUGAAGAAGGCCUUCGGGUUGUAAAGUACUUUCAGCGGGGAGUCGUUACCCGCAGAAGAAGCACCGGCUAACUCCGUGCCAGCAGCCGCGGUAAUUC
rnacentral:rRNA from 1 species